GUAGGGCGCGAGCGUUGUCCGGAAUUAUUGGGCGUAAAGAGCUCGUAGGCGGCUUGUCGCGUCGGUUGUGAAAGCCCGGGGCUUAACUCCGGGUCUGCAGUCGAUACGGGCAGGCUAGAGUUCGGUAGGGGAGAUCGGAAUUCCUGGUGUAGCGGUGAAAUGCGCAGAUAUCAGGAGGAACACCGGUGGCGAAGGCGGAUCUCUGGGCCGAUACUGACGCUGAGGAGCGAAAGCGUGGGGAGCGAACAGGAUUAGAUACCCUGGUAGUCCACGCCGUAAACGGUGGGCACUAGGUGUGGGCAACAUUCCACGUUGUCCGUGCCGCAGCUAACGCAUUAAGUGCCCCGCCUGGGGAGUACGGCCGCAAGGCUA
rnacentral:rRNA from 1 species